GGAAUUAUUUGGUUGGCGGGUUAGACGCUCGUAGUCGAAUGUUUGUUCAAGCCUGACGGUCCUCCCUAGUGGUGCGUACUCAGUUCGGUCUGAGCACUUCUCUGGUGCAAGUGUUUGCAGUUAGUUCUGUUGCACUUUGUCCAGAACUUUUACUUUGAGGAAAUGAGAGUGCUUCAAGCAAAUGUAUGUUAUGAAUACGUUAGCAUGGAAUAAUCGCAUGGGACAUCAUCCUGAAUUUGUUGGUUUUUGGGUAGAUGUAAUGAAGGUGGGGAUAGUUGGGGGCAUUCGUAUUUAACUGUUAGAGGUGAAAUUCUUGGAUUUUUUAAAGAUGGACUACUGCGAAAGCAUCUGCCAAAGAUGUUUUUGUCGAUCAAGAACGAAAGUUAGGGGAUCGAAGACGAUCAGAUACCGUCCUAGUCUUAACCUUAAACUAUGCCCACUAGGGAUUGGGGUCAUCAGACUCUUGAUGUCUUCAGCAUCUUCAGAGAAAUCAAAGCCUUUGGGUUCCGGGGGGAGUAUGGUCACAAGGCUGAAACUUAAAGGAAUUGACGGAAGGGCACCACCAGGAGUGGAGCCUGCGGCUUAAUUUGACUCAACACGGGAUAACUCACCAGGUCCAGACUUAGAAAGGAUUGACAGACUGAUAGCUCUUUCUUGAUUCUAUGGGUGGUGGUGCAUGGCCGUUCUUAGUUGGUGGAGUGAUUUGUCUGGUUAAUUUCGUUAACGAACGAGACCUUAUCCUGCUAAGUAGUACUGAAAACAAUGCAGUUUGAAAGUGAUCUUCUUAGAG
rnacentral:rRNA from 1 species